rnacentral:rRNA from 1 species
AGCGUAGAGUGUUUGUAGCAAGGUCAAACAAUGCAAGGCUUACGGUGGAUACCUAGGCACCCAGAGCCGAAGAAGGGCGCGGAAACCGGCGAAACGCUCCGGGGAGCUGGAAACAAGCAUCGAUCCGGAGAUGCCCGAAUGGGGCAACCUCAAGAGCUGCCUGUUGAAUUCAUAGACAGGGCAGAGACAACCCGGUGAACUGAAACAUCUCAGUAGCCGGAGGAGAAGAAAGCAAAAGCGAUUCCCUGAGUAGCGGCGAGCGAAAUGGGAUCAGCCUAAACCGGCCCUGCAAGCAGGGCCGGGGUCGUGGGAGGAGACAUCAGUUCCUGUAGGUGGUAGCAAGCGCUGCCCCAAGAUCGAACAUGACAUGCACGCUUGGGCCGGGGCCGAUCCCGCCGCCCUGACGGCUCGAGAUGGCCGCCGCGCGGAGGGUGUUGGCGCAUGCCGACAGGGUUGACACCUUGUCGGCGCAGGCCCAUGAUCAUGCCACUUGCCUAGGCGAAGCAGCUGAAUCCUGCACCAUAGAUGGUGAAAGUCCAGUAGUUGAAAGGCAGGUUGCAGUGUGUGGGAUGCCGUCGGCAUAGCCGGGCAUCUGUCUCUUAUCCCGAGUAGCAUGGGGCACGUGGAAUCCCGUGUGAAUCUGCGAGGACCACCUCGUAAGGCUAAAUACUCCUGGGUGACCGAUAGCGAACAAGUACCGCGAGGGAAAGGUGAAAGAGAACCCCUGGAGGGGAGUGAAAGAGAGCAUGAAACCGUAAUCUGACAAGCAGUGGGAGGGGCAUCAGCCCUGACCGCGUGCCUGUGGAAGAAUGAGCCGGCGACUUGCAGGGGGUGGCUGGGUUAAGGAGACAUCCCGAAGCCAAAGCGAAAGCGAGUCUGAACAGGGCGCGACAUGGUCACUCCUUGCAGACCCGAACCCGGGUGAUCUAACCAUGGCCAGGAUGAGGCUUGGGUAACACCAAGUGGAGGUCCGAACCCAUCGAUGUUGAAGAAUCGUGGGAUGAGCUGUGGUUAGGGGUGAAAUGCCAAUCGAACUCGGAGCUAGCUGGUUCUCCCCGAAAUGCGUUGAGGCGCAGCGGUUGUCGAAUGCCUCCUUGUGGGGAUGAGGGCUGUCUAGGGGUAAAGCACUGUCUCGGUGCGGGCUGCGAGAGCGGUACCAAAUCGUAGCAAACUAAGAAUACUAGGCAUGCCUUCCCGUCAGCCAGUGAGACUGUGGGGGAUAAGCUCCAUUGUCAAGAGGGAAACAGCCCAGAUCACCAGCUAAGGCCCCCAAAUGAUCGCUCAGUGGAAAAGGAGGUGAGAAUGCAGAGACAGCCAGAAGGUUUGCUUAGAAGCAGCCAUCCUUUAAAGAGUGCGUAAUAGCUCACUGGUGGAGCGUUCUUGCGCCGAAAAUUCAUGGGUCUAAGCGAUCUGCCGAAGCUGUGGGAUGGUAGCCGUGGUGGCGAAUGCCACCACCGUCCGUGCGACGGCCGCAUUGGACCUGAGGAUGUGAGGCCUCGUCAGGGGCCACCGCCUAUGGAUGCAUGCGAGCUUGCUACCAUCGGUAGGGGAGCGUUCCGCUCUAGGGUGAAGCAUCGGUGCAAGCCGGUGUGGACGAGGCGGAAGUGAGAAUGUCGGCUUGAGUAACGCAAACAUUGGUGAGAAUCCAAUGCCCCGAAAGCCUAAGGGUUCCUUCACAAGGUUCGUCCAUGGAGGGUGAGUCGGGUCCUAAGGUUAGGCCGAGAGGCGUCAUCGAUGGGAAACAGGUUAAUAUUCCUGUACUUGGCCUUGGUUGGCACCGAGGGACGAAGCAGGCACGGAGCGGCCAAAACUGGAUUUUGGUGGAAGCAGGCAAGGCAAGGAGAGGUGGAAGAGAAACCAUCCUCGAGCUGAGCCGCAACACGGCCUCAUCAUGGGCCAGCCCCUUAGGGGGCUGGCUCUAUGGGGCUCGCUCCCUUAGGUCAUACUUCCUAGAAAAGCUCGAACUGCUAUCAAACCAAGAACAACCCGUACCCGAAACCGACACAGGUGGGCAGGUAGAGCAUACCAAGGGGCGCGAGACAACUCUCUCUAAGGAACUCGGCAAAAUGGCCCCGUAACUUCGGGAGAAGGGGUGCCCCCCAAUGGGGGGCCGCAGUGACCAGGCCCAGGCGACUGUUUACCAAAAACACAGGUCUCCGCAAAGUCGCAAGACAACAUAUGGGGGCUGACGCCUGCCCGGUGCCGGAAGGUGAAGGGAGUUGGUUAUUCCUUGGAAGAAGCUGGCGACCGAAGCCCCGGUGAACGGCGGCCGUAACUAUAACGGUCCUAAGGUAGCGAAAUUCCUUGUCGGGUAAGUUCCGACCCGCACGAAAGGCGUAACGAUCUGGGCACUGUCUCGGAGAGAGACUCGGUGAAAUAGACAUGUCCGUGAAGAUGCGGACUCCCUGCACCUGGACAGAAAGACCCUAUGAAGCUUUACUGCAGCCUGGAAUUGGGUUUGGGCCCCUUCUGCGCAGCCUAGGUGGGAGGCCGUGAGAGCCCCCUUCCGGGGGGGCUGGAGCCAUCAGUGAGAGACCACUCUGGAGGGGCUAGAAUCCUAAUGGCGCUCCUUGAAGCAGGACGCCUGACAGUUUCAGGCGGGCAGUUUGACUGGGGCGGUCACCUCCUAAAGGGUAACGGAGGUGUGCAAAGGUCCCCUCAGGCUGGACGGAAAUCAGCCGCAGAGUGUAAAGGCAUAAGGGGGCUUGACUGCAAGACCUACAAGUCGAGCAGGGGCGAAAGCCGGCCUUAGUGAUCCGACGGUGCCGAGUGGAAGGGCCGUCGCUCAACGGAUAAAAGUUACUCUAGGGAUAACAGGCUGAUCUUCCCCAAGAGUUCACAUCGACGGGAAGGUUUGGCACCUCGAUGUCGGCUCGUCGCAACCUGGGGCGGUAGUACGUCCCAAGGGUUGGGCUGUUCGCCCAUGAAAGCGGUACGUGAGCUGGGUUCAGAACGUCGUGAGACAGUUCGGUCCAUAUCCGGUGCAGGCGUUAGAGCAUUGAGGGGAGCCCUCCAUAGUACGAGAGGACCUGGAGGGACGCACCUCUGGUAUGCCAGUUCUCCUGCCAAGGGGACACGCUGGGUAGCCAUGUGCGGAGCGGAUAACUGCUGAAAGCAUCUAAGUAGGAAGCCCACCCCAAGAUGAGUGCUCUCUGCCCUUGAGGCUGUGGGUCACAGCAAGACAAGCUGUUCGAUAGAUGCCAGGUGCAAGGCCAGCAAUGGUUGCAGCCGAGGCACACUAACAGACCCAACGAGUUUGACCCCGUGAUGGCA